GCGAGGGCUUUGUGCGGGCGCCGAGCAGCGCCCAGGCCCGGGCUGAGCACGCCGGGACGAGCCGUCCGCCGCGCUGACCCCGGGGCUGGACACCCGACCUCCUGGGGUCCCUUCACGGCUCCCCCUCCCCGGGAGCCCCAGCCGGCAGACCUGCAGCUGGAGCGGGAAUGAGGAUCGGGCCCGGACCCCAGAGUUGGGCCCCGGCCAGGAGAGUUUUCUUUGUAGCCCUGCGGGGGGCGGGCGGUCCCAGCCCCCAGGCCCGUGACUUCGCGGUUGGGCCGGACCUGCCUGCUGAGGUGUGCCUAGCGGGACAUCCCAGCACUGUAAAAGUCCGGACGGAACACUUGCAGCUCAGUGCAGAGAGAGAAAGGUUGCAAUCAUACUCCUGCUCCGCUCUGGCUGGGAUGCUGAGAGCCAACAGGAUCGAAGUGGUUUUAACCAAAAAUGGUUCUAAUCAGCCUAACUGAAGAGAAUGGUUUGGGGAGCGUGCCUUCUUCACAGCCAGGGUUUUGUGGGCCUUCAUAAGUUCUGCAGCAGCAGAGGAAGCUGGAUCACUUAUUUCAAUACAAGUUUUACUUCUGAAAGACAUGGUCUGAAAUCUUAGAAUGGUUAAAGAGUUUUUCCGGCUGCAGGACACGGCUCGGAGGAGGUGCCCAGGGACGCGGGGACGGCAGCCUCUGCUGGUGGAAGUGUCUGGUGGUACACCGUCGGAGCUGACACCCGGCGAGCUGUCUUCUCUCAAGCACUGUUUACUUUUGUAGAACUCAUUGACUUUUCGGAGAGGUGGAGAUUUUUUCAACACUUCCUUUUCCUUCAAGCUUUUUCUGUCAAAACUUUAAAAACUGCAUAGAGACCAAGUGAAUGCUUAACCAACAGAAUCUCGAGAAAACAUAGCAAUGGGGCAAAGCAGAAAUCUUUUGAGAUACCCCUUUACCAAAGACAGCUUUUGUAACCAAGAAAACAUUGUCUUCUCUGCACCUUUUUUUCCCUUGUCGUCAUAAAAAGAAAAUGAAAUCUUGAAAAGGAACAUGACUCAUUUCUACGCAGCAGGGGGCAAGGCCUGAAGCAGAUGUUUGUAUUCUCGGCUUAACUCCCUGGGCUGGCUUCAGAAGUGUGGCCGAGGGGUUCUCUGGGGGCCUGCAUUCUUCCCCAGAUGAGAAAAGAACUAAAUAUAGGUGGGGCGAUAUGACUAAUCGUGUUCUGUGGAGGGACCCAACAAUGACACCUCGAUAUAAUCAAUCAGAGUAAAGCGUGACGGCGCUUUCAGAGUGGAAUUGGGAAAUGAGGCAUCGGUGGUAUGGUUGGCAGGAGGCCAAGGGCGCAAGGCCGGGUCUCAGGAGGCAGCCUUCGCCUGGGCCCAGCAGCAGAGACUGACCUGGGGGAGCCCCUACAGG
rnacentral:lncRNA from 1 species